rnacentral:rRNA from 1 species
GUAGGUGGCAAGCGUUGUCCGGAAUUAUUGGGCGUAAAGCGCGCGCAGGCGGUUCUUUAAGUCUGAUGUGAAAGCCCACGGGCUCAACCGUGGAGGGUCAUUGGAAACUGGAGAACUUGAGUACAGAAGAGGAAAGCGGAAUUCCACGUGUAGCGGUGAAAUGCGUAGAGAUGUGGAGGAACACCAGUGGCGAAGGCGGCUUUCUGGUCUGUAACUGACGCUGAGGCGCGAAAGCGUGGGGAGCAAACAGGAUUAGAUACCCUGGUAGUCCACGCCGUAAACGAUGAGUGCUAAGUGUUAGGGGGUUUCCGCCCCUUAGUGCUGCAGCUAACGCGUUAAGCACUCCGCCUGGGGAGUACGGCCGCAAAGGCUG